GUUUAGUAGUAAAAUUCUUGCCUUGCAUGCAGGAGAGCUGGGUUCAAUUCCCAG
rnacentral:tRNA from 1 species